AACGAACGCUGGCGGCAUGCCUAACACAUGCAAGUCGAACGAGACCUUCGGGUCUAGUGGCGCACGGGUGCGUAACGCGUGGGAACCUGCCCUUAGGUUCGGAAUAACUCCCCGAAAGGGGUGCUAAUACCGGAUAAUGUCUUCCGACCAAAGAUUUAUCGCCUUUGGAUGGGCCCGCGUUGGAUUAGCUAGUUGGUAGGGUAAAAGCCUACCAAGGCGACGAUCCAUAGCUGGUCUGAGAGGAUGAUCAGCCACACUGGGACUGAGACACGGCCCAGAAUCCGACGCGAGGCAGCAGUGGGGAAUAUUGGACAAUGGGCGAAAGCCUGAUCCAGCAAUGCCGCGUGAGUGAUGAAGGCCUUAGGGUUGUACAGCUCUUUUACCCGGGAUGAUAAUGACAGUACCGGGAGAAUAAGCUCCGGCUAACUCCGUG
rnacentral:rRNA from 1 species